rnacentral:rRNA from 1 species
UACGUAGGGGGCAAGCGUUGUCCGGAAUCAUUGGGCGUAAAGGGCGCGUAGGCGGAUAAUUAAGUCUGGUGUGAAAGUCCAGGGCUCAACCCUGGGAUUGCAUCGGAAACUGGUUAUCUUGAGGACAGGAGAGGAAAGUGGAAUUCCACGUGUAGCGGUGAAAUGCGUAGAUAUGUGGAGGAACACCAGUGGCGAAGGCGACUUUCUGGACUGUAACUGACGCUGAGGCGCGAAAGCGUGGGGAGCGAAC